rnacentral:piRNA from 1 species
UUGACCUACUCGUGGGGUUUCCAUGAUAAC